CUUCUUUCAAAUCUAAAUUUAGCAAAUAUCUUUCAAUAUUACACUUUUCUCCUUUGAAACUUGAAGGCUUUGGGCAUUUAAGAAUCAGUGUUUCAGCUGCAAUGCUUCUGAGAGGAAGGGAGAUUUUCAAAGAGCCUUUGUCAGCCCAGGAGUGAGUGAGUUAAUCCAUCCACCUGCCCCAACUGAGAGCAGAAGACACUGUUUAUAGGACUGAAGACAGAGGUGCUGGGUGCAAGGACUGAGACUAAGAAUGGAAAUGCGAGAACCAGGAUUCAGGGAUGGAGGAAAAGAGACUCAAAGAGACCUUAGGCUGUUCUCAGAUGUCCAUGGCUGGCGAGUGGCAACGUUAGGACUAGAAACCCAGUCUACUGGCUCUCCUCCAACCUCUGCUUUUUCUGCAAUACCAAAUAUCCACAGGUUUCUGUGCCCAGAGUUCUCCUAAGGAAUGGGCCAUGGCUGAGGACUAAAGACACAGUGGAUUAGUGCUGAGGCAGGAGGCUUUUUAAAAACUCUGUGUAAAAGACUUAUUCUGAGCCCUCUGUUGCAAGCAUAUUAAAAUCGUCUCAGUGUUCAGAAUGAGGAUGAAGUGCUGG
rnacentral:lncRNA from 1 species